rnacentral:misc_RNA from 1 species
AUCGAAACUUGCAAACAAUACAUAACGUGCCGCUUCAAAGAAACCAUAUGGUCACAAGAUCGGGAUCACGUUAGAGAAAAGUUGAUACAUUGCAUAAAUCUGAACAAAACGUAUAGAGAUACUUACAUAUUUGUGAAGAACCAACCAUUUCUGCCCAAUACUGAGCAGUUCAGCUUUUCAGAAAAUUAUGUGUUUGGUAAAUUUGAUACAUUUUGCAAAAGACUUAAUAAAAUUAUUUCUAUGUUCGAUUUAAUGGACGACUACAAUCAUUUGUUCGAAAAAAGAAUGGAAGGCUUACUUUUGGGAGAAGACUUAGAAGAUGCAAUGCAUGCAUUUAACGAGGCUAAGAAAGCGGUGACGUCAUGCCAUUAUGAUUAUUUAGACUAUAGGAAUAAUGAGUUUGACAAAGACUACCAAAAGUUCGAGCAAAAAACCAACUCUCUUCGGGAGUCCAU